ensembl:snRNA U6 U6 spliceosomal RNA
GUACUUCCUUCAGCAGCACAUAUGCUAAAAUUGAAAUAAUACAGAGAAGAUUAGCAUGGCCCCUGCGCAAAGGUGACAGAUUCAUGAAGCGUUCCAUAUUUUU